AGUGCAGGUUUGAUCCAGCCAGUAUAGAACUAGCUCUGUAGGGGUGAGGAGGACUGUGCUGUGUAUCAUCCUUGAUUGUGUUCCUUCAAGGAGCAUUGCACUUGCCUUCCCAGACCUUCCACCUUAGGUUCUGCUGCAAAAAGCAACAGUGCUGAAGAUGCUGCAAGCACCAAAGCUAGCAUAAGAUCAGGCCCUGAGGUAGUUCCCUAAGAGGAAGGAAGGAGCCUUGAGUGUAUGCCAUUGGUGAGCCGAUGAGCAUGGACCGUAGAAGGGCUCAAUGUAGAAGAAACUACCCGUGUGUUAACAGAAGAUUGGCUUAAAUGGCUACUGUGAUGGGAACAGUGUCUUAGGGAGAUGCAGCUUGGACUUGAGGUAAAUUGAAUACUUUACAAACUGGCUUAGAGUUUUUGCUUUCAUGACAUUGUAUGUAAAGGGUACAUG
rnacentral:lncRNA from 1 species